UACGGAGGGUGCAAGCGUUGUCCGGAAUUACUGGGCGUAAAGCGCGUGUAGGUGGUGGGACAAGUCUGCUGUGAAAGCGCCUGGCUUAACCGGGCGAGGUCGGCGGAAACUGUCCGACUCGAGGACGGUAGAGGGGGGUGGAAUUCCCGGUGUAGUGGUGAAAUUCGUAGAUAUUCGCAAGAACACCAGUGGCGAAGGCGGCUGACUGGUCCGGUUCUGACGCUGAGGCGCGAAAGCGUGGGUAGCGAACAGG
rnacentral:rRNA from 1 species